rnacentral:tRNA from 1 species
GCAGUGGUGGUUCAGGGGUAGAAUUCUCACCUUCCACGUGGGAGACCUGGGUUCAAUUCCCAGUCAACGCA